rnacentral:lncRNA from 1 species
GUGCCAGAACCAUGUUCCGGACAUGCCCGGAACCACCUGCCGAGCUCGCCGGAACCACCUGCCGGACACGCCCACAUCACCUGUCAGCUACGCCAGAACCACUUGGCGGACACUCCGGAAACACCUGUCAGACUCGCCGGAACCACCUCUCAGAUGCGCCAGAACCAUGUGCCUGAGAUGCCGGAACCACUCCCCGAAGAGACCGAAACCACCUGCCAGACCCGCCUGAACCCACUGGCGAGCACGCCUGAUCCACCUGCUCAACUAGCCGGAACCACCUUCCUGACACGCCAAAAUCACCUGCCAGGUAUACAAGAACCACUUGGUGGACACUCCGGAAUCAUCUGCCGGACAUGCCAGAACCAGCUCUCAGACACACCAGAACCACGUGCCAGAGACGCCGGAAGCACCAGCUGAGCAUGCCUCAGCCACCAGCUCGACUCGCAAGAUACACCUGUCGGACAGGCGAAAAUCACCUGCCGGGUACGCCAGAAACACUUGGCGGACGCUCCGGAAUCACCUGUCCUGCGUGCCGGAACCACCUCUCAGACUUGCCAGAACCAUGUUCUGGACACGCCGGUACCAGCUGCCGAGUAUGCCGGAACCAGCUGAUCCACUCCCCAGAACCACCUAGUGGACACGCCAAAAAUCAACUGCUGGCUACGCCGGAACCACCGGCUCGACUAGCCGGAACCACAGCCGGACAUGCAAAAUGACCUGCCGGCUACGCCAGAACCACUUGGCGAACACUCCGGAAUCACCUGUCGGGCAUGCCGGAACCACCUCUCAGACUUGCCAGAACCAAGUUCAGGACACGCCGGUACCACCUGCCGAGCUCGCCGGAACCACCUGCUGGACACGCCAAAAUCACCUGCCGGCUACCCCAGGACCACUCGGCAGACACUCCGGAAUCACAUGCCAGGCAUUCCGGAACCACCACUCAGAGGUGCCAGAACCACAUGCCGGACACUCCGGAAUCACCUGCCGGGCAUGGCGGAACCACCUCUCAGACAUGCCGGAACCACAUGCCAAUGACACCGGAAGCACCUGCCGAGCACUCCAGAACCACCUGCUCGACUCGCCAAAACCACCUGCUGGACACGCCAAAAUCACCUGCCUGCUACGCCAGAACCACGUGGCAGACACUCCGGAAUCACCUGCCGGGCUGGCUGGAACCACCUGCCGGUCACGCCAACAUCACCUUUCAGCUACGCCAGAAACACUUGGCGGACACUCCGGAAACACCUCUCCAGCCGACCGGAACCACCUCUCAGACGUGCCAGAACCUUGUGCCUGAGAUACCGGAACCACUCCCCGAACAGACCGGAACCACCUGCCAGACCCACCUGAACCCCCUGGCGAGCACGCCUGAUCCACCUGCUCAACUAGCCGGAACCACCUUCCUGACAUGCCAAAAUCACCUGCCAGGUAUACAAGAACCACUUGGUGGACACUCCGGAAUCAUCUGCCGGACAUGCCAAAACCAGCUCUCAGACACGCCAGAACCACGUGCCAGAGACGCCGGAAGCACCAGCUGAGCAUGCCUCAGCCACCUGCUCGACUUGCAAGAAACACCUGUCGGACAUGCCAAAAUCACCUGCCGGGUACGCCAGAAACACUUGGCGGAUGCUUCGGAAUCACCUGUCGGGCGUGCCGGAACCACCUCUCAGACUUGCCAGUACCAUGUUCUGGACACGCCGGUACCACCUGCCGAGUAUGCCGGAACCAGCUGAUCCACUCCCCAGAACCACCUAGUGGACACGCCAAAAUCAACUGCCGGCUACACCAGAACCACUCUGCACACACUCCGGAAUCACAUGCCAGGCAUUCCGGAACCACCUCUCAGAGGUGCCAGAAACAAAUGCUGGAGACUCCGGUAUCACAUGCCUUGCAUGCCGGAACCAACUCUCAGACGUGCCAGAACCUCGUGCCGGACACGCCAGAACCACCUGCCGGACAGACCGGAAACACCUGCUGGACAAGCCAGAACCACUCGGCAGACACUCCGGAAUCACAUGCCAGGCAUCCCGGAACCACUUCUCAGAGGUGCCAGAAACAAAUGCCGGACACUCCGGUAUCACCUGCCGGGCAUGCCAGAACAACCUCUCAGAGGUGCCAGAACCACAUGCCGGACACUCCGGAAUCACCUGCCGGGCAUGCCGGAACCACCUGAUCGACUUGCCGGAACCACCGGCUCGACUCGCCGGAACACCGCCGGACAUGCAAAAUCACCUGCCGGCUACGCCAGAACCACUUGGCAAACACUCCGGAAUCACCUGUCGGGCAUGCCGGAACCACCUCUCAGACUUGCCAGAACCAUGUUCCGGACACGCCGGUACCACCUGCCGAUUAUGCCGGAACCACCUGAUCCACUCCCCAGAACCACCUGCUGGACACGCCAAUAUCACCUGCCAGGUAAGCCAGAACGAUGUGGCGGACACUCCGGAAUCACCUGUCGGGCAUGCCGGAACCAACUCUCAGACGUGCCAGAACCUCGUGCCGGUCAUGCCAGAACCACCUGCCGGACAGACCGGAAACACCUGUUGGACACUCCGGAACCACCGGCUCCACUCGCCAGAACCACCGCCGGACAUGCAAAAUGACCUGCCAGCUACUCCAGAACCACUGGGCGAACAUUCCGGAAGCACCUGCCGGGCAUGGCGGAACCACCUCUCAGACAUGCCGGAACCACAUGCCAAUGACACCGGAAGCACCUGCCGAGCACGCCAGAACCACCUGCUCGACUCGCCAAAACCACCUGCUCGAUUCGCCAAAAUGAACUGCCGGCUACGCCAGAACCACUUGGCGAACACUCUGGAAUCACCUGUCGGGCAUGCCAGAACCACCUCUCAGACUUGCCAGAACCAUGUUCCGGACACGCCGGUACCAGCUGACGAUUAUGCCGGAACCACCUGAUCCACUCCCCAGAACCACCUGCUGGACAUGCCAGAAUCACCUGCCGGCUACGCCAGAACCACUCGGCAGACACUCCGGAACCACCUGCCGGGCAUGCCGGAACCAUCUCUCUGACGUGCCAGAACCAUGUGCCUGAGAUGCCGGAACCACUCCCCGAACAGACCGAAACCACCUGCCAGACCCGCCUGAACCCCCUGGCGAGCACGCCUGAUCCACCUGCUCAACUAGCCGGAACCACCUUCCUGACACGCCAAAAUCACCUGCCAGGUAUACAAGAACAACUUGGUGGACACUCCGGAAUCAUCUGCCGGACAUGCCAGAACCAGCUCUCAGACACACCAGAACCACGUGCCAGAGACGCCGGAAGCACCAGCUGAGCAUGCCUCAGGCACCUGAUCGACUCGCAAGAUACACCUGUCGGACAUGCCAAAAUCACCUGCCGGGUACGCCAGAAACACUUGGCGGACGCUCCGUAAUCACCUGUCGGGCGUGCCGGAACCUCUUCUGAGACUUGCCAGAACCAUGUUCUGGACACGUCGGUACCACCUGCCGAGUAUGCCGGAACCAGCUGAUCCACUCCCCAGAACCACCUAGUGGACACGCCAAAAUCAACUGCCGGCUACGCCAGAACCACUCGGCAGACACUCCGGAAUCACAUGCCAGGCAUUCCGGAACCACCUCUCAGAGCUGCCAGAACCACAUGCCGGACACUCCGGAAUCACCUGCCGGGCAUGCUGGAACCACGUGCUGGUCAUGCCGGAAGCACCUGCCGGACAUGCCAGAACCACAUGCCGGACAUUCCGGAACCACCGGCUCGACUCGCCGGAACCAUUGCCGGACAUGCAAAAUCACCUGCCGGGUACGCCAGAACCACUUGGCGAACACUCCGGUAUCACCUGCCGGGCAUGCCGGAACCACCUCUCAGAGGUGCCAGAACCACAUGCCGGACACUCCGGAAUCACCUGCCGGGCAUGCCGGAACCAUCUCUCAGACGUGCCAGAACCAUGUUCCGGACACGCCGGUACCACCUGGCGAGCUAGCCGGAACCACCUGCUGGACAUGCCAAAAUCACCUGCCGGCUACGCCAGAACCACUUGGCGGACACUCCAGAAUCACCUGCCGGGCUUGCUGGAACCACCUGCCGGUCACGCCAACAUCACCUGCCAGCUACGCCAGAUCCACUUGGCGGACACUCCGGAAACACCUAUCGGGCCGGCCGCAACCACCUCACAGACGUGCCAGAACCCUGUGCCUGAGAUGCCGGAACCACACCCCGAACAGACCGAAACCACCUGCCAGACCCGCCUGAACCCCCUGGCGAGCACGCCUGAUCCACCUGUUCAAGUAGCCGGAACCAGCUUCCUGACACGCCAAAAUCACCUGCCAGGUAUACCAGAACCACUUGGUGGACACUCUGGAAUCAUCUGCCGGACAUGCCAGAACCAGCUCUCAGACACACCAGAACCACGCGCCAGAGAUGCCGGAAGCACCAGCUGAGCAUGCCUGAGCCACUUGCACGACUCGCAAGAAACACCUGUCGGACAUGCCAAAAUCACCUGCCGGGUAAGCGAGAAACACUUGGCGGACACUCCGGAAUCACCUGUCGGGCAUGCCGGAACCACCUCUCAGACUUGCCAGAACCAUGUUCUGGACACGCAGGUACCACCUGCCGAGUAUGCCGGAACCAGCUGAUCCACUCCCCGGAACCACCUACUGGACACGCCACAAUCAACUGCCGGCUAUGCCAGAACCACACGGCAGACACUCCGGAAUCACAUGCCAGGCAUUCCGGAACCACCUCUCAGAGGUGCCAGAGCCACAUGCCGGAGACUCCGGAAUCACCUGCCGGGCAUGCCGGAACCACCUAUCCAAGGUGCCAGAACCACAUGCCGGAGACUCUGGAAUCACCUGACGGGCAUGCCGGAACCUCCUCUCAGACGUGCCACAACCACGUGCCGGACAGACCGGAAGCACCUGCCUAGAUCUCCGGAACCACCUGCUGGACAUGCCGGAACCACCUGCCUCACAGGCCAAAAUCAUAUGCCGGCUACGCCAAAACCACUGGGUGGACACUCCAGAAUCACCUUGCGGGCAUGCCGGAACCACGUCAUGGACAUACGGCAAACACCUGUCGGACCUGCCGGAACCACCUGCCGAGCACGCCGGAACCACCUGCUCGACUGACCAGAGCCACCUGCUGGACACAGCAGAAACACCUGCGGGGUACGCCAGAACCACUUGGAGAACUCUCCUGGAUCACCUGCCGGGCAUGCCGGAACCACCUCUCAGACGUGCCAGAACCUCGUGCUGGACACGCCAGAACCACCUGCCGGACACGCCGGAACCACCAGCUCGACUCGCCGGAACCACCGUCGGACAUGCAAAAUCACCUGCCGGCUACGCCAGAACCACUUGGCGAACACUCCCGAAUCAGCUGCCGGGCAUGCCGGAACCACCUAUCAGGCUUCCCAGAACCAUGUUCCGGACACGCCGGUACCACCUGCCGAGCAUGCCGGAACCACCUGAUCCACUCCCCAGAACCACCUCCUGGACACGCCAGAAUCACCUGCCGUCUACGGCAGAACCACUCGGCAGACACUCCGGAACCACCUGCUGGGCAUGCCGGAACCACCUCUCAGAGGUGCCAGAACCACAUGCCGGACACUCCGGCAUCACCUGCCGGGCAUGCCGGAACCAUCUCUCAGACGUGCCAGAACCAUGUUCCGGACACGCCGGUGCCACCUGCCGAGCUCGCCGGAACCACCUGCUGGACACGCCAAAAUCAACUGCCGGCCAUGCCAGAACCAACUGGCAGACAGUCCAGAAUCAGCUACCAGGCAUGCAUGAACCACCUCUCAGACGUACCAGAAGCACGUGCCAGACGUGCUGGAACCACGUCCUGGACAGACUGGAACCACCUGCUGGCCACGCCUGAACCACCUGCCGAGCAUGCCGGAACCACCUGCCGAGCCUGCCGGAACCACCUGCUCCACUCGCAGGACCCACCUGCUGGACAUGCCAAAAUCACCUUCCGGCUACGCCAGAACCACUUGCCGGACACUCUGGAAUCACCUGCCGGGCAUGCCGGAACCACCUCUCAGACGUUACAGAACCACGUUUCGGACACGCCUGAACCACC